rnacentral:rRNA from 1 species
ACCUACGGGGGGCAGCAGUGAGGAAUAUUGGUCAAUGGUCGGGAGACUGAACCAGCCAAGCCGCGUGAGGGAUGAAGGUACAGAGUAUCGUAAACCUCUUUUGUCAGGGAACAAAGGCGGGGACGUGUCCCCGGAUGAGUGUACCUGAAGAAAAGCAUCGGCUAACUCCGUGCCAGCAGCCGCGGUAAUACGGAGGAUGCGAGCGUUAUCCGGAUUUAUUGGGUUUAAAGGGUGCGCAGGCGGUCUGUUAAGUCAGCGGUCAAAGCCCGGGGCUCAACCCCGGCCCGCCGUUGAAACUGGCAGUC